rnacentral:ncRNA from 1 species
GAUACCUCCAAUGGAAUAGGAUUACGAAUGCUGCGAAUAAAAUGAAAAGGGAAUGCCGUGAAAGUCGGCAACAGUUCCCGCUGCUGUAAGCUCUGCAUAAAACCUUUGCGCAAUACUCACAUCCACUGGCUUGAACUCUUUCCUGUGAGAGGGUUGAUGAAAGGCCGGGAAGGAAGCGCAAAAGGAGGAGUAAGUCAGAAGACCUGCCAGAUGUGUACACUUUUU